GUGGGCUCCCGUUUUCGAGCGUCCACUUUUACAUUUGCCAUAAUUGAUCAGAUUGUUGCUGUUUGCAGUCUCAACAUACUCUAUGUAUUGCAGUAAUGUGACAUAUUGGACACAUUCGAGGGGUUGCGGUCAGGAAAGGAAGUCAACCUCGUUUUCGAGGGCGCGCUUGAUGUUCAUUCUUUGGCCAUCUGUGCGCCUCGACAGCCAGCUCUUGAGCACAGCCUCCGCCUCCGCCUCGCCUCCUCUCGUGUCCCGCGUUACGAUCCUCCGAGGGGGGCGGGGAGACGUCGCCACAGUCCCGAGAAAGAGUUGCCCGAGACUGUCGAGAGUCGAGCCUCCGCGCGGAGGACACUUUGGGGCUCCCAUGCUCGUCUCGCGGCCCCCGCGUUCGACGACGACGAGGAAGAGGAGGCAGGCGGUGAUGUUCAGGCGACCCGCCGGGGAGGAGGUCGGACGUGUGCCGCUUACUUUCCUCCAGUAGGCUUGCGGAGAUUUCCCCCCCCCCCCCCACCC